GACAGAGGGGGCAAGCGUUGCUCGGAAUUACUGGGCGUAAAGGGCGCGCAGGCGGGAUGGCAAGUCGGUCGUGAAAUCCCUCGGCUCAACUGAGGAUCGUCGAUCGAUACUGCCGUUCUUGAGGAUUGCAGAGGAGACUGGAAUUCCCGGUGUAGCGGUGAAAUGUGUAGAGAUCGGGAGGAACACCAGUGGCGAAGGCGGCGAUCUGGACAGAUAUUGACGCUGAUGUGCGAAAGCGUGGGGAGCAAACAGG
rnacentral:rRNA from 1 species